rnacentral:rRNA from 1 species
UACAGAGGGGGCAAGCGUUAUUCGGAAUUAUUGGGCGUAAAGGGCGCGUAGGCGGCCUGGCAAGUGGAAGGUGAAAUCCCUCGGCUUAACCGAGGAACUGCCCCUCCAAACUGCUUGGCUUGAGUCCGGGAGAGGUGAGUGGAAUUCCCAGUGUAGCGGUGAAAUGACGUAGAUAUUGGGAGGAACACCAGUGGCGAAGGCGGCUCACUGGACCGGAACUGACGCUGAGGCGCGAAAGCGUGGGGAGCAAACGGGG